AUUUUGAUUUCUUACAAGGAAGAGGGUAGAGAGAGAGAGAGAGAGUGAGAGUGAAAGAGACAUUUUGGUGGAACUGUGUAGAGAAAAUAGAGAGAGAGAGAGAGAGAGAGAGAAAAUGGAGAGAGAGAGAAUGGAGAGAUUGUAGAGAGAGAGAGAGAGAGAGAGAGAGAGAGAGAGAGAGAGAGAGAGAGAGAGAGAGAGAGAGAGAGAGAGAGAGAGAGAGAGAGAGAGAGAGAGAGAGAGAGAGAGAGAGAGAAAAUGGAGAGAGAGAGAAUGGAGAGAUUGUAGAGAGAGAGAGAGAGAGAGAGAGAGAGAGAGAGAGAGAAUGUGUAUGAAUGUGGGGUUGUUGUGGUUAGGUCACUUUAGGUCAUUUAUAAGUGAG
rnacentral:lncRNA from 1 species